CCCUUAGAUGUUCUGGGCCGCACGCGCGCUACACUGAUGCAUUCAACGAGUGUACCUUGGCCGAGAGGCCUGGGCAAUCUUUUGAACGUGCAUCGUGAUAGGGAUAGAUUAUUGCAAUUAUUAAUCUUGAACGAGGAAUUCCUAGUAAACGCAAGUCAUCAACUUGCAUUGAUUACGUCCCUGCCCUUUGUACACACCGCCCGUCGCACCUACCGAUUGAAUGGUCCGGUGAAGCCUCCGGAUUGGCGCGCACCUCGGUGCCGCCGAGAAGUUGGCUAAACCUUACCAUUUAGAGGAAGGUGAAGUCGUAACA
rnacentral:rRNA from 1 species